UGGGGAAUAUUGCACAAUGGGCGCAAGCCUGAUGCAGCCAUGCCGCGUGUAUGAAGAAGGCCUUCGGGUUGUAAAGUACUUUCAGUCGGGAGGAAGGUGUCAAGGUUAAUAACCUUGGCAAUUGACGUUACCGACAGAAGAAGCACCGGCUAACUCCGUGCCAGCAGCCGCGGUAAUACGGAGGGUGCAAGCGUUAAUCGGAAUUACUGGGCGUAAAGCGCACGCAGGCGGUUGAUUGAGUCAGAUGUGAAAUCCCCGGGCUUAACCCGGGAAUUGCAUCUGAUACUGGUCAGCUAGAGUCUUGUAGAGGGGGGUAGAAUUCCAUGUGUAGCGGUGAAAUGCGUAGAGAUGUGGAGGAAUACCGGUGGCGAAGGCGGCCCCCUGGACGAAGACUGACGCUCAGGUGCGAAAGAGUGGGGAGCAAACAGG
rnacentral:rRNA from 1 species